rnacentral:rRNA from 1 species
AGUGAACGCUGGCGGUAGGCCUAACACAUGCAAGUCGAACGGCAGCACAGUAAGAGCUUGCUCUUACGGGUGGCGAGUGGCGGACGGGUGAGGAAUACAUCGGAAUCUACCUUUUCGUGGGGGAUAACGGAGGGAAACUUACGCUAAUACCGCAUACGACCUACGGGUGAAAUCAGGGGAUCUUCGGACCUUGCGCGAUUGAAUUAGCCGAUGUCGGAUUAGCUAGUUGGCGGGGUAAAGGCCCACCAAGGCGACGAUCCGUAGCUGGUCUGAGAGGAUGAUCAGCCACACUGGAACUGAGACACGGUCCAGACUCCUACGGGAGGCAGCAGUGGGGAAUAUUGGACAAUGGGCGCAAGCCUGAUCCAGCCAUACCGCGUGGGUGAAGAAGGCCUUCGGGUUGUAAAGCCCUUUUGUUGGGAAAGAAAAGCAGCAGGUUAAUACCCCGCUGUUCUGACGGUACCCAAAGAAUAAGCACCGGCUAACUUCGUG